CGUAGGGUGCGAGCGUUAAUCGGAAUUACUGGGCGUAAAGUGUGCGCAGGCGGCGCUGCAAGUCGAGUGCGAAAUCCCCGAGCUUAACUUGGGAAUUGCGCUCGAAACUACGGCGCUGGAGUAUGGCAGAGGAAGGUGGAAUUCCACGUGUAGCGGUGAAAUGCGUAGAGAUGUGGAGGAACACCGAUGGCGAAGGCAGCCUUCUGGGCCAAUACUGACGCUCAUGCACGAAAGCGUGGGGAGCAAACAGGAUUAGAUACCCUGGUAGUCCACGCCCUAAACGAUGAUGACUAGUUGUUGGAGGAGUUAAAUCCUUUAGUAACGCAGCUAACGCGUGAAGUCAUCCGCCUGGGGAGUACGGUCGCAAGAUUA
rnacentral:rRNA from 1 species